rnacentral:lncRNA from 10 species
AAACCCUGUCACUAUAAAAAAUACAAAAAUUAGCCAGUCGUGGUGGUUGCAUGCCUGUGGUCUAGCUACUCAGGAGGCUGAGGCAGAGGAUCGCUUGAGCCUAGGAAGCAGAGUUUACAGUGAGCCAAGAUCAUACCACUCCACUCCAGCCUGGACAACAGAGUGAGACUCUUGUCUCAAAAGACAAAAAAUAAAAUAAAAUGAAUAAGUGGUAAAUGAAAGAAUUAAUGAAUGAAUGGAAGGAUGAGCUAGAAUUUGGAGCCCCUAAAUGGAGCCUGGGUACUCAGUCUAACUUCAGACCCUUCCUUUUUUGCCAGCUGCCGGAUAGUCUCACCAUUACUCCCGUUAUUUGGAACCUCUUCACUGCAACGUGACCUUGUUUAUACAGUGGAAUUUUCCAGAUGCUACACAAUAUGUGACGUUGCAACAGAUUGAAGAAGCAAAUAUGAGAAUCAUAUCUUCUAUGGAAUCAGAAACUCAAUUUGCAAAAAUGAAAAACAAUGUGACUCUUCUCACUAUUCUUUUCGGAUAUACAAUUAUGUUCAAUUAAAAUGUUAUUUAUGUCAUAUAUAAUGGUUUAUUAUUUUUAAAAAUGAAUUAACUGUCUUUAAAAGUUCUCAGCUUUAAUUUCUGAGCAAAUACUGAUAGAUAUUAUCCACAAUAAACAAAAGCUUUGUGGUGUCCU